rfam:Gossypium arboreum cultivar AKA8401 contig_46664_1, whole genome shotgun sequence.
AUUCCAUGAUAAGGGCAUAUUCAUAAUAUUUCUUUAAACCUUUCUCAUGCUUCAUACAAGGACUCGUCAUCCAUCUACUGGAAGGUAGUGAUCUUGUUCCUCAACAU